rfam:Triticum aestivum genome assembly, contig: Triticum_aestivum_CS42_TGACv1_scaffold_577626_7BL
CAACUACUCCCUCUGUCCCAAAUUUCUUGUCUUAGAUUUGUCUAGAUACGGCUAGAUACGGAUGUAUCUAAUACUAAAAUGUGACUUGAUACAUCCGUGUCUAGACAAAUCUAAGACAAGAAUUUUGGGACAGAGGGAGUACUUG